rnacentral:rRNA from 1 species
GACGAACGCUGGCGGCGUGCCUAAUACAUGCAAGUCGAGCGGACCACUUCGGUGGUCAGCGGCGGACGGGUGAGUAACACGUGGGCAACCUGCCUGUAAGACUGGGAUAACACCGGGAAACCGGUGCUAAUACCGGAUAAUCCUUUCCUUCACAUGAGGGAAAGCUGAAAGACGGUUUCGGCUGUCACUUACAGAGGGGCCCGCGGCGCAUUAGCUAGUUGGUGAGGUAACGGCUCACCAAGGCAACGAUGCGUAGCCGACCUGAGAGGGUGAUCGGCCACACUGGGACUGAGACACGGCCUAGACUCCUACGGGAGGCAGCAGUAGGGAAUCUUCCGCAAUGGACGAAAGUCUGACGGAGCAACGCCGCGUGAGCGAUGAAGGCCUUCGGGUCGUAAAGCUCUGUUGUCAGGGAAGAACAAGUACCGGAGUAACUGCCGGUACCUUGACGGUACCUGACCAGAAAGCCACGGCUAACUACGUGCCAGCAGCCGCGGUAACAC